GGAGUGUCCUCGGGGAUUUGUUGUCUGUAUCGUUGUGGAAUAAAAUAACUGAAGCAGGCAAACAUUUCUGCAUUGUCUGGAAUGACUGCGUGAAAUUAAGGAGGGUCUAGUUCCUUGCUGACUGGUCCAGCGUCUGAAAGGCGCGUCCGUGUUCGUACGGAUUGCAGACGGCAGGAGAGAUGAAGAGCUGGAGGGCCUCAGUGAGAAGCUGGUUUACCAGACCCCGAGGAACACAGCUGAGAGCAGCACAGGACCGGCCCUGAUGGAGCUGGGUAAGGAUGGGGAGGAAACAGCUGCCCUGCACCCCCUGCCGGCUCCACACCCCAGGACAGCAGACCUCAAACACAGCACAGCCGAGCAAUGCAGCCCCCCACAUUCUCCAAACACCAUCACUGAGGAUCCCCCCCCCCAAACCAGGGUCCCCAGCUCACU